CACGACUACGAGUUUGAUCAUGGCUCAGGACGAACGCUGGCGGUGUGCUUCACACAUGCAAGUCGAACGGAAUCUUCGGAUUCAGUGGCGGACGGGUGAGUAACACGUGGGAAUCUACUGAGUAGUGGGGGACAGCCCGGCGAAAGCCGGAUUAAUACCGCAUACGCCCUACGGGGAAAGGACGCAAGCCGCUAUUUAAUUGAGCCCGCGUAAGAUUAGCUAGUUGGUGAGGUAAAGGCUCACCAAGGCAACGAUCUUUAGCUGGUCUGAGAGGAUGGCCAGCCACAUCGGGACUGAGACACGGCCCGGACUCCUACGGGAGGCAGCAGUCGGGAAUAUUGGACAAUGGGCGCAAGCCUGAUCCAGCAAUACCGCGUGUGUGAAGAAGGCCUGCGGGUUGUAAAGCACUUUCAGUGGGGAAGAUAAUGACGUUACCCACAGAAGAAGCACCGGCUAACUCCGUG
rnacentral:rRNA from 1 species